UUGCUUUUUCUAAUGCUGGCUUACAGAAUUCUGCUCAGCUGUGGGUGCUUGAGGUUUUUGUGUUGAUGAUCAUAGAUUGAUUCAUUCAUUCUGGGCCAUUUUCAAGGCUGUGCCUCUCUAUCAAAACUGUCAAAUAUAUUUGUGUCUUGAGGGAUCUCCAUCACUCUGAGAGCUUUUUCUUUUUUUUUUUUCUUUAUUCAAGCAGAAUAUCUGAAAGGGAAAAGGAUGUUGAAAGCUGAGAAAGAAAAUAAAAGAUUUAAAAAGAAGCAGCAUACCCACAGGCUAUCUCUGACUAAUAAGAAUUCAAGCAGCUGUGCUUUUUUUCAACUUGAAAACUGGAGCUUUUAGGUUGGACUUGAUGAUCUCAGAGGUCUUUUCCAAUGUAAGUGAUUUUGUGGUUUUCUGAUAACUGUAACAUUCACUUGGAAUGGGAGUUCAGUCUGACAAAUGUUUUAUUCCUUAUUUUCCUUCAGCUUCUAUCUCUUCAAAAGUGUUGAUACGGAGCCACAGCAUUUGGGGUUAAUGAUAGAUGAUGUGUUUAAGUGUCUCUGAAAAAGAAAUUCACAGAAAACAUCUGAAGAGCUGUGCUUCUUCAGGAGUAUAUAUAAAUAAGGAACAACUCCAUCUCCACCCAAAGACAGCAACUAGUGUUAUGAAUUGAAGAAGAUCUGGGCCUUUAAGAAGAGCAUCUCACUCAUGAAGGCCUGAAAACCCAGUAUAUUGGCAGCAGAUGGGAGAUAAAACAAUUCUUGCCAAUUACUUGUGCUACACCACGCUGGGAGAGAUGCUGUUAUGUAAGUGUCUCAAACUGGGGAGGUCACAUGAAUAAGAACAGAGUCAUCCAUGAUGCUUUCAGCUUCUUGAAACAAAGGACUUGAAUUAAGAUUGCUCUAGCACUUCCCUCCUUCCUCCCUUUCCUUUUUUGUGCCAAGCUUCAUUAGCUCUGUGGUUUUGUUUCAUUUGGUUUUAAUGCUUAUAUAGAACCAGAAACAUUUUCAGACUUUUCAUGAAAAAUGUGCAAGAAAUACUGACAAUGCAGAGAAACUCUUUUAGUCAGUGCAGAAUUGCCAGAACUUGCCAAGAAUAGUGAUGUCUUGUGGAAAAGUUUGUCUCUUAAUU
rnacentral:lncRNA from 1 species